AUAAAAACUUUUGAACUUUAUGAGCACGCGUUUACGCAUGUUUAAGCGUCAGUUGCAAAACUUAGAAAACUAAACGAACUUGCUCAUCAAAUGGAAGUUGAUACCAAUAGCAGUAAUAGUAAUAGAGUAGAUUGUUCUAAUGAAGAUAUGCCUAGUACCAGUAGAGUACUAUUAACCAUUUUAUUAAGUAGUGUAUUAAAUGAAAUUGAAGUAGAUGUAAAUAUAAAACACAUUAGUUAUAAAUAUUUUUGUAUUCCUUUUGGAGGAAAAUACUUACUUUUACCUAUAAUACAUCACCUUUUUAACGAUUUUUUAAGAUAAUAAUAUUAAAUGGAGUCGGAUCAGGAUAUAUUCAGCGAAAUAUGUUCAGAAGUGGAAUUAAGUCAGUGGCAAGAAAAUGACGGUACAGUUUUAUAUAUGUACUUUUAGGAAAUAAAGAUUCGAAAGCGUUAAUUUGGGGUGGAAUGUCCCCAUGACGAGCGCCAUUCACCAAAAAAGCCUGCAUCUUCCCAAACAUGUGUCGUCAUCUAAAGGCAGACACGCGGCAAUAAUAGCUGAAUUAAACGCUAUCCAGAAAUGCCACAACCAAAUAUUGGCGAAACUGGACAGCAUCGACACCCGUCAACUGGGCGUUGUUAGCCAAAUGCCGGAACGUGGUGAGGUGCAAGCGCAAAGUAAGCUGUUGCACGAAUGCAAAGUGCUGAGAGGGUUCAACAGUCUGUUAGUCGCAUCACUGUGGAAAGCGAGGAGUCCAUGGAACUUGCUGCUAUGAUUCCCGUAUUAUCGGUGGAGCAAGUGCAGACUGUUGAAGCCAAGUUGAAAAACAAAGCUUACGCCGACGCCAUGGUAACAUAAUAAAGUGAAUGCUAGUAUAACACUGUGGAACAAAUUCAGAUUAGGCUUCUGGCAAGAUCAAAAGGCAGGAAAGGAACGGUUGACGGGGUUAUGCGUUACCUAUUGACAGAUGACGCUAUGUACAGCUUUAACUUAGAAGGAAGAGCAGGCAAGAUUCCAUUUCUUAGACUUAAGGCGGUUGAACUUAUAUUUGAAAAAGCAAAAUAAGAUAUCCAAGGCGCUAUAAGAAAAUAUGUUAGUUUAAACCACAAUAGAUGCAACCAAAAAAACUAUAAUAGAAGAAAAACUUUAAAUCUGUAAAUA